rnacentral:sRNA from 1 species
UCCAGUUCCUGCGCGCCGCGCGCACCCGCCUGACAACCGCUCGCUACGUUUUAUCAG